rnacentral:rRNA from 1 species
AUUGAACGCUGGCGGAAUGCUUUACACAUGCAAGUCGAACGGCAGCACGGGGCAACCUGGUGGCGAGUGGCGAACGGGUGAGUAAUACAUCGGAACGUGCCCAAUCGUGGGGGAUAACGUAGCGAAAGUUACGCUAAUACCGCAUACGAUCUACGGAUGAAAGCGGGGGAUCGCAAGACCUCGCGCGAAUGGAGCGGCCGAUGUCAGAUCAGGUAGUUGGUGGGGUAAAGGCUCACCAAGCCAACGAUCUGUAGCUGGUCUGAGAGGACGACCAGCCACACUGGGACUGAGACACGGCCCAGACUCCUACGGGAGGCAGCAGUGGGGAAUUUUGGACAAUGGGCGCAAGCCUGAUCCAGCCAUUCCGCGUGCAGGAUGAAGGCCUUCGGGUUGUAAACUGCUUUUGUACGGAACGAAACGGUUCUCUCUAAUACAGGGGGCUAAUGACGGUACCGUAAGAAUAAGCACCGGCUAACUACGUGCCAGCAGCCGCAGUAAAAC